AUGCGCCACAACACCCACGGGCUUGGCUCUCGCUGGGACCCACACAGACAGGGAUGGAAGCUCCAGACUGGAGACCGAAAUUCCUGUUUAUCAUCUGGAGCUUUUGGCUUGAGGAGGGCAGGGUGCUGUUUGAAACUGAAUGCUAAGAAGAACGUCUGUCUGCCUGUUAUUAAGGCACCGGGAAUUCACAACUACGGAGCAGCCUCCCCGGAGGUGAAAACACACCACUGGAGGCUUUGGAUGGCCUGCACUUCUAGGAAACGGGAUUUCAGUGGCUCAGUAAUGCUUGGUGUGUGGCCUGCCAGUCCAUGGGAAGAAUGCUUCUCUUGGUUUCUACCUAACUUAAUGGCCGGCAGGUGGAACUUUCCUGAGCAACCUUGCCGGGGGCCAGCGUGAGGAACUCCGCCCAUGGCAAAGGUCAU
rnacentral:lncRNA from 1 species